rnacentral:rRNA from 1 species
GUGGGGAAUAUUGGGCAAUGGGGGCAACCCUGACCCAGCGACGCCGCGUGAGGGAAGACGGCCUUCGGGUUGUAAACCUCUUUUGUACGGGAAGAAGGAAGUGACGGUACUGUACGAAUAAGUCCCGGCUAACUACGUGCCAGCAGCCGCGGUAAUACGUAGGGGACGAGCGUUGUCCGGAAUUACUGGGCGUAAAGGGCGCGCAGGCUGUGCUGCAAGUCAGCUGUGAAAUGUCUGGGCUUAACCCGGGCAUGCGGUUGAGAAUGCAGUGCUGGAGUGCUGUAGAGGCAAGUGGAAUUCCCAGUGUAGCGGUGAAAUGCGUAGAUAUUGGGAAGAACACCGGUGGCGAAGGCGACUUGCUGGGCAGCAACUGACGCUGAGGCGCGAAAGCCAGGGGAGCAAACGGGAUUAGAAACCCCUGUAGUCC